rnacentral:rRNA from 1 species
AUGCAUAAGGGGAACUUUGAGUCUACCCAGGAGUGUUUGAGGAAAAUACUCAUUGACUGGAGCGAGCAAUAUAUGUCCACCGGGAAGAAAGAGAUUCUUAUCAAAUCUGUUGCACAGGCCAUCCCUGCAUAUGUUAUGAGCGUAUUUAGACUUCUCGCCUCGGUUUGUGAUGAUAUCACUCGUAUGAUACACCAAUAUUGGUGGGGAGUUGAGAAUGGGAAGAAGAAGAUGGCUUGGAUGAGUUGGGAAAAGUUGAGUUUACCUAAAUCCAUGGGAGGAUUGGGUUUUAGAGACAUGAGGGUGUUCAACCAGGCUUUGCUUGCCAAAUAG